GUUGAAUUAAAAACUGAAUCGGAUACCAUCUAAAUCGAGUCGAAACCGUUUAAAAACUAAAGAAGAAAUUUCUAGAAGUCGAAUUGAACCAAACCUAUUCAGUUUGGACCAAAUCAGACUAUAUACCUAAAAAACAAAACUUAAAACCCUCAUCCUCUCUCUCCCCGUCGCCGACAGCUCCCACACACCCCUCCUUUCUGUUUUCCGGCCAAACUCAAUGGAAUCAGACGAUUAAGGACUCUAAAGUGCUCUACUCGUUGUAAGAAGUUCAAUCCAAGUCCUGGUUCACACGAUUUAAGCUUGGAUCGAGAGGAAAUGAAACUUGAAAUAUCUUCAGUUUGCAAUCUGACUCUCCGGCGAGUUCUCGCCGUUACCGGCUGAUGUACGCGAUGAAGACGGGUUGAGUCAGCUCUUCAGCGCCAUGCGAGCAAUACCCCUCUGUUAAUUUGGUCAACGAAGCUAGCAUGUGAAAUCGCCAUGGAUGGUAGUGGCGAAGCUACUGUCAAGGCCAUUUUCAGCCAAAUGAGACACACCCAGUCCAAAUUCGUCACGGAUUCUGAGUCCCAAUGAGAUUUCGAGCAUUUUGGUGUAUGUGUUGCUCAGUUUUGGCAAUACUCGGUUUUCCGGCCACCGUGUGCGGCGGCAGGCGGCAACAUUUUGGUGACCGGCCAGCGAGACCCUGGCGAGGCCAUAGGAGACAGAAUUCUCGUCUCGAUUUGGUCAAUGCGAUGAUAUGACUUGUCCGUGAUGCGCUGUAGAGUUAGAAUGAUAUGGGUCACCCUAGGGUGAGAGCACGGGCACGGUGAGAAUAUCGUCAGUGGGCCGUAAGCAUGUGGAGUGGCAUCCCCCAAUUAUGCAUCAAUGCUAAAAGAAAAAGAAAGAAAAGUGACAAAGUGAAAAGAAAAGGAAAGAAAGGAGAUAUAUAUGGACUAGAUCCGUCCAGCCUGAAUGGGAGUGGGCUCCCUGAGUGCACUUGACACAAGAUUAUGGAUUUAUUUUUCCAGAAAUUAUUUUAAAGCAUGCUUUGGGGUGAGCAUGAUCCUUGUUUAUAGUAGGUGAUUCCACGGACUAAUGUCCACUGUAUGAUUACUUGAAUUGUUGUGACUUGUUUGAUAAGUGUGCAUAAAUACUUACUCGUUCAUUCAUAGUUAGCUGGAGGGCUACUGAUUGUAUAGUAUGAUUACAAUAUGUAUGAAUGUGUGGGGUGAGAGGGUUAUCUAACCCUACUCAUUGAGUUUGGCGCUCACCCUUGCCUCCUUAUUUUUCCAGCUAUUAGGAGGAGAGAAGAAUCCUAUGGAUCCAUUUGAAUUGAAAUACAGAUAAAGAAAAAUAAAAAUAAAUGGAUACAAUAUGUUAAUGUAAAGAUUGUAA